rnacentral:rRNA from 1 species
GUGAGGAAUUUUCCGCAAUGGGCGAAAGCCUGACGGAGCAAUGCCGCGUGAAGGAUGAAGGCCUAUGGGUUGUAAACUUCUUUUCUCAGAAAAGAAUUAUGACGGUAUCUGAGGAAUAAGCAUCGGCUAACUCUGUGCCAGCAGCCGCGGUAAGACAGAGGAUGCAAGCGUUAUCCGGAAUGAUUGGGCGUAAAGCGUCUGUAGGUUGUUUAAAAAGUAUUCUGUCAAAGAUUAGGGCUUAACCCUAGAUAGGCAGAAUAAACUUUUAAGCUAGAGUUUGGUAGAGGCAGAGGGAAUUCCCGGUGGAGCGGUGAAAUGCGUAGAUAUCGGGAGGAACACCAAAGGCGAAGGCACUCUGCUGGGCCAAUACUAACACUGAGAGACGAAAGCGAGGGGAGCAAAUGGGAUUAGAUACCCGUGUUCC